rnacentral:rRNA from 1 species
UACGAGGGGGGCGAGCGUUGUUCGGAAUUAUUGGGCGUAAAGGGUGCGUAGGCGGUUUGGUAAGUUUGAUGUGAAAUCUAUGGGCUCAACUCAUAGUCUGCAUCGGAAACUGCCGGGCUUGAGUGUGAGAGAGGUGAGUGGAAUUCCUGGUGUAGCGGUGAAAUGCGUAGAUAUCAGGAGGAACACCUGUGGCGAAAGCGGCUCACUGGACCAUAACUGACGCUGAUGCACGAAAGCUAGGGGGGCAAACAGG